rnacentral:rRNA from 1 species
GAUGAACGCUGGCGGCGUGCCUAAUACAUGCAAGUCGAGCGAACAGACGAGGAGCUUGCUCCUCUGACGUUAGCGGCGGACGGGUGAGUAACACGUGGAUAACCUACCUAUAAGACUGGGAUAACUUCGGGAAACCGGAGCUAAUACCGGAUCAUAUAUUGAACCGCAUGGUUCAAUAGUGAAAGACGGUUUUGCUGUCACUUAUAGAUGGUUCCGGGCCGCAUUAGCUAGUUGGUAAGGUAACGGCUUACCAAGGCAACGAUGCGUAGCCGACCUGAGAGGGUGAUCGGCCACACUGGAACUGAGACACGGUCCAGACUCCUACGGGAGGCAGCAGUAGGGAAUCUUCCGCAAUGGGCGAAAGCCUGACGGAGCAACGCCGCGUGAGUGAUGAAGGUCUUCGGAUCGUAAAACUCUGUUAUUAGGGAAGAACAAAUGUGUAAGUAACUAUGCACGUCUUGACGGUACCUAAUCAGAAAGCCACGGCUAACUACGUG